GAUGAAGAACGUAGUGAAAUGCGAUAAGUAAUGUGAAUUGCAGAAUUCAGUGAAUCAUCGAAUCUUUGAACGCACCUUGCGCUCCUUGGCAUUCCGAGGAGCAUGCCUGUUUGAGUGUCAUUAAAUUCUCAAGACCUGUCUGCUUUUUUGAUAGGUAUUGGAUUUUGGGGGUUGCAGGCUGUUUCAAAUAAAUAGCCUUGCUCUCCUUGAAUGUAUUAGUGGAGAAAAGCCAUUGAACUCCAUUGGUGUGAUAAAACCUAUCAAUGCCAGGAGCAAUAUCACUACUUCUCUCUGCUGUCUAACUGUGACUGUCUGUAUUAAUUAGUAUGGAUGAGGACAACUUGACCAACUUGACCUCAAAUCAGGUAGGACUACCCGCUGAACUUAAGCAUAUCAAUAAGCGGAGGA
rnacentral:misc_RNA from 1 species